rnacentral:lncRNA from 1 species
GGUAUUAUUAUGCCGAUGGAAAACAGUCCCAACAGGUAUAUAGACCUCAUAAGUCAUCCUGGAUCCCGACUAUCCGACCGAGGAAGGAGGUGUAUAUCGGUUUUUGGCUAGUGCAUUGAUCUGCAUUACAUUUCAUCCACAUUACAUUUCAUAUUGAUUUGGUGUUGGGCUGUUGAGAUGGUUGUGGUAAUGAUUUAGCUUGAUACAUCAGAGACAUCGUUUGAUAUCAUCGGUGGCGUAA